GAUGAACGCUGGCGGCGUGCCUAAUACAUGCAAGUCGAGCGAACAGACGAGAGUGCUUGCACUCUCUGACGUUAGCGGCGGACGGGUGAGUAACACGUGGGUAACCUACCUAUAAGACUGGGAUAACUUCGGGAAACCGGAGCUAAUACCGGAUAAUAUUUAGCUUCGCAUGAAGCAAUAGUGAAAGACGGUUCUGCUGUCACUUAUAGAUGGACCCGCGGUGUAUUAGCUAGUUGGUGAGGUAACGGCUCACCAAGGCAACGAUACAUAGCCGACCUGAGAGGGUGAUCGGCCACACUGGGACUGAGACACGGCCCAGACUCCUACGGGAGGCAGCAGUAGGGAAUCUUCCGCAAUGGACGAAAGUCUGACGGAGCAAUGCCGCGUGAGUGAAGAAGGUUUUCGGAUCGUAAAACUCUGUUGUAAGGGAAGAACAAGUACGUUAGUAACUGAACGUACCUGGACGGUACCUUACCAGAAAGCCACGGCUAACUACGU
rnacentral:rRNA from 1 species